AUACAUGCAAGCGAGCGAGGCAGCAAUGCCGAGCGGCGAACGGGUGAGUAACGCGUAAGCAAUCUGCCCCAUAUCAGGAAAUACCCGUGCCAACGCGCGGUUAAUGUCCAGGAGAGUGGCCAGCUGCAUGGCUGGUUGACUAGAGAUUUAUCGGUAUGGGAUGAGCUUGCGUCCGAUUAGCUAGUUGGCGGGGCAACGGCCCACCAAGGCGACGAUCGGUAGCCGGCCUGAGAGGGUGAUCGGCCACAUUGGGACUGAGAUACGGCCCAGACUCCUACGGGAGGCAGCAGUAGGGAAUAUUGCACAAUGGGGGAAACCCUGAUGCAGCAACGCCACGUGUGGGAAGAAGCAUUUCGGUGUGUAAACCACUGUCAUGAGGAAUAGCCGCUCGACGGACCUUGAUGUACCUUGAGAGGAAGCACCGGCAAACUUCGUGCCAGCCGCCGC
rnacentral:rRNA from 1 species